AUUGAACUCUGGCGGCAGGCCUAACACAUGCAAGUCGAGCGAGCGGCGGACGGGUGAGUAAUGUAUGGGGACUGCCCGAUAGAGGGGGAUAACUACUGGAAACGGUAGCUAAUACCGCAUACUAUCGGAUAACCCAUAUGGGAUUAGCUAGUAGGUGGGGUAAAGGCUAACCUAGGCGACGAUCUCUAGCUGGUCUGAGAGGAUGAUCAGCCACACUGGGACUGAGAAACGGCCCAGACUCCUACGGAGGCAGCAGUGGGGAAUAUUGCACAAUGGGGGCAAGCCUGAUGCAGCCAUGCCGCGUGUAUGAAGAAGGCCUUCGGGUUGUAAAGUAAUUUCAGUCGGGAGGCGUUACCGACAGAAGAAGCACCGGCUAACUCCGUGCCAGCAGCCGCGGUAAUUC
rnacentral:rRNA from 1 species